CGGGGAUGGAGCCGGAGGUAGGUCGUCGGGCUCAUAACCCGAAGGUCAUCGGUUCGAGUCCGGUUCCCGCUACUA
rnacentral:tRNA from 1 species